rnacentral:rRNA from 1 species
UUGAUCCUGGCUCAGAAUCAACGCUGGCGGCGUGCCUCAGACAUGCAAGUCGAACGCGAAAGGGGGCUUCGGCUCCCGAGUAGAGUGGCGCACGGGUGAUUAACACGUGAGUAAUUUACCUUGGGGUGGGGAAUAACAACCGGAAACGGUUGCUAAUACCGCAUAAUGCAGCAGCACCUAAUGGUGACAGUUGUUAAAGUGGGGGAUCGUAAGACCUCGCGCCUGAAGAGAAGCUCGCGGCAGAUUAGCUAGUUGGUAGAGUAAUGGCCUACCAAGGCGAUGAUCUGUAGCCGGCCUGAUAGGGCGGUCGGCCACACUGACACUGACAUACGGGUCAGACUCCUACGGGUGGCAGCAGUCGGGAAUUUUGGGCAAUGGGCGAAAGCCUGACCCAGCAACUCCGCGUGAAGGAUGAAGUUUUUCGGAAUGUAAACUUCACAAGAAUGGGAUGAAUAAGUCUGGGUUAAUAUCUCAGACGAUGACGGUACCAUUUGUAAGCUCCGGCUAACUCCGUGCCAGCAGCCGCGGUAAUAAGGU